rnacentral:rRNA from 1 species
ACUCAAUAGAUACCCAGGUAGUCCACGCCCUAAACGAUGUCUACUAGUUGUCGGGUCUUAAUUGACUUGGUAAACGCAGCUAAACGCGUGAAGUAGACCGCCUGGGGAGUACGGUCGCAAGAUUAAAACUCAAAGGAAUUGACGGGGACCCGCACAAGCGGUGGAUGAUGUGGAUUAAAUUCGAUGCAACGCGAAAAACCUUACCUACCCUUGACAUGGAUGGAAUCCCUGAGAGAUUGGGGAGUGCUCGAAAGAGAACCAUUACACAGGUGCUGCAUGGCUGUCGUCAGCUCGUGUCGUGAGAUGUUGGGUUAAGUCCCGCAACGAGCGCAACCCUUGUCAUUAGUUGCUACGAAAGGGCACUCUAAUGAGACUGCCGGUGACAAACCGGAGGAAGGUGGGGAUGACGUCAAGUCCUCAUGGCCCUUAUGGGUAGGGCUUCACACGUCAUACAAUGGUACAUACAGAGGGCCGCCAACCCGCGAGGGGAGCUAAUCCCAGAAAGUGUAUCGUAGUCCGGAUUGUAGUCUGCAACUCG